rnacentral:misc_RNA from 1 species
CCAAAACUUAGCUGCUCCAGUUCAGGCUGGUUGCACGCUUCAACCCUUUGCGAACCAAAAACCUUUACGCUUCGGCAGCUGGUUCCAGCUGUAAGCCUGCCGAUGGCACCCAUUUAAACCUGUCGUUAAAUAUUUGUCUGAACUAAAUAUUUUCGAAUGAAAAUUA